UGAGGAAUAUUGGUCAAUGGGCGCGAGCCUGAACCAGCCAAGUAGCGUGCGGGACGAAGGCCCUAUGGGUUGUAAACCGCUUUUUCUAGGGGGAGUAAAGUGCGUCACGUGUGAUGCAUUGCAGGUACCCUGCGAAUAAGGACCGGCUAAUUCCGUGCCAGCAGCCGCGGUAAUACGGAAGGUUCGGGCGUUAUCCGGAUUUAUUGGGUUUAAAGGGAGCACAGGCCGGCUGUCAAAGCGUGUUGUGAAAUGUAGGGGCUCAAACCUCUGAGUUGCAGCGCGAACUGACGGUCUUGAGUACGCACAACGUUGGCGGAAUUUGUCGUGUAGCAGUGAAAUGCUUAGAUAUGGCGAAGAACUCCGAUUGCGAAGGCGGCUGACGGGAGCGCGACUGACGCUUAAGCUCGAAAGUGCGGGUAUCGAACAGGAUUAGAUA
rnacentral:rRNA from 1 species